rnacentral:tRNA from 1 species
UCCCUGAUGGCUCAGAGGUUAAAGGAUCUGCCUGCAAUGCAGGAGACCUGGGUUCAAUCCCUGGGUUGGGAA